CCCCCCAUAGCUCAGAGGACAGAGCAUUGGUUUCCUAAACCAUGUGCGCAGGUUCGAGUCCUGCUGGGGGGACCA
rnacentral:tRNA from 1 species